AUGUGGAACAAAGCUCACUUCAGUGGAAAAGAAGAUGGGGCUCAGAUCUUUGCAACUUCUGUGGACAAUGCCCACAUCGUUCUGCAGAUUGACAAUGCCCGUCUUGCUGCUGAUGACUUUAGAGUCAAGUAUGAGACAGCUGGCCAUGUGCCAGUCCAUGGAGAGCGACAUCCAUGGGCUCCGCAAGGUCAUCGAUGACACCAAUGUCACCCGGCUGAAGCUGGAGACAGAGAUCGAGGCCCUCAAGGAAGAGCUGCGCUUCAUGAAGAAGAACCAUGAGGAGGAAGUAAAAGGACUACAAGUCCAGAUUGCCAGCUCUGGGUUGACCGUGGAGGUAGAUGCCCCCAAAUCUCAGGGCCUCGGCAAGAUCAUGGCGGACAUCCGGGCCCAGUAUGAUGAGCUGGCUCAGAAGAACUGAGAGGAGCUGGACAAGUACUGGUCCCAGCAGAUUGAGGAGAGCACCACAGUGGUCAUCACGCAGUCCGCUGAGAUUGGAGCUGCUGAGAUGAUGCUCACGGAGCUGAAACGUACAGCGCAGUCCUUGGAGACGGACCUGGACUCCAUGAGAAACCUGAAGGCCAGCUUGGAGAACAACCUGAGAGAAGUAGAGACCCGCCACACCAUGCAGAUGGAGCAGCUCAACGGCACCCUGCUGCACCUGGAGUCUGAGCGGGCACAGACCCGGACAGAGGGCCAGCACCAGGCCCAGGAGUACGAGUCCCUACUGAACAUCAAGGUCAGCUGGAGGCUGAGACAGCCACCUACUGCCGCCUACUAGGAGAUGGAGAGGACUUCAGUCUCAGUGAUGGCCUGGACAGCAGCAGCUCCAUCCAGACCAUCCAAAAGACCACCCGCAAGAUAGUGGAUGGCAAACUGGUGUCUGAGACCAAUGACACCAAAGUUCUGAGGCAUUGA